rnacentral:rRNA from 1 species
UACGGAGGGGGCUAGCGUUGUUUCGGAAUUACUGGGCGUAAAGCGCACGUAGGCGGCUUUUGUAAGUUAGAGGUGAAAGCCCAGGGCUUAACCCUGGAAUUUGCCUUUUAAGACUGCAUCGCUAGAAUCGUGGAGAGGUGAGUGGAAUUUCCGAGUGUAGAGGUGAAAUUCGUAGAUAUUCGGAAGAACACCAGUGGCGAAGGCGACUCACUGGACACGUAUUGACGCUGAGGUGGCGAAAGCGUGGGGAGCAAACAGG